rfam:Oryza meridionalis cultivar OR44 (W2112) chromosome 1, whole genome shotgun sequence.
CCGUCCCAAAAUUAUGGGUAUCCGUGUAUAACGUUUGACCGUCCGUCUUAUUUGAAAAUAUUGAUAAUUUUUUUAAAAAAAAUUAAUCACACAUAAAAAAAUAUUAUUCAUAUUUUAUCAUUUAACAACAAUAAAAUUACUAAUCAUAAAAAAAAUUAAAUAAGACGAGCGGUCAGACGUUGGAUAUGAACAGUGUAAAACUAUACUUAUU